rnacentral:rRNA from 1 species
CUUUCAACAACGGAUCUCUUGGUUCUGGCAUCGAUGAAGAACGCAGCGAAAUGCGAUAAGUAAUGUGAAUUGCAGAAUUCAGUGAAUCAUCGAAUCUUUGAACGCACAUUGCGCCCCUCGGGAUCCCGGGGGGCAUGCCUGUUCGAGCGUC